GUGCCAGCAGCCGCGGUAAUACGGAGGGUGCGAGCGUUAAUCGGAAUUACUGGGCGUAAAGCGCAUGCAGGCGGUCUGUUAAGCAAGAUGUGAAAGCCCGGGGCUCAACCUCGGAACAGCAUUUUGAACUGGCAGACUAGAGUCUUGUAGAGGGGGGUAGAAUUUCAGGUGUAGCGGUGAAAUGCGUAGAGAUCUGAAGGAAUACCGGUGGCGAAGGCGGCCCCCUGGACAAAGACUGACGCUCAGAUGCGAAAGCGUGGGGAGCAAACAGGAUUAGAUACCCUGGUAGUCCACGCCGUAAACGAUGUCUACUUGGAGGUUGUGGCCUUGAGCCGUGGCUUUCGGAGCUAACGCGUUAAGUAGACCGCCUGGGGAGUACGGUCGCAAGAUUAAAACUCAAAUGAAUUGACGGGGGCCCGCACAAGCGGUGGAGCAUGUGGUUUAAUUCGAUGCAACGCGAAGAACCUUACCUACUCUUGACAUCCAGAGAACUUAGCAGAGAUGCUUUGGUGCCUUCGGGAACUCUGAGACAGGUGCUGCAUGGCUGUCGUCAGCUCGUGUUGUGAAAUGUUGGGUUAAGUCCCGCAACGAGCGCAACCCU
rnacentral:rRNA from 1 species